rnacentral:lncRNA from 1 species
CCACAGAAUCAUGUACGACAUCUUGAGUAGUUAUUCCACAUUUGUGUAGCAAUUUGAUCCCUGACUUGUCCCAUUUGAGCUGUUUGACUAGCAUCAGAAUGUAUGACUUCUUGAUCUUGACUUGAUUCCGAUAUAUCUUGAAACACCAUAUUAUUCUCUGAAUACUCAACGAACAACUUAUCUAAAACGUGCUCCUGACGAAUAAAGUUAUUUAUUGUGCAAUAUGCAAUAGGGAUUUGUCUUUGCCCACUAAGUGGAUACUUGGUAAUCAACUUCAAAAUAGGAUAUCUUGCCUUUAAAACUCCAAUGCAACAUUCAAUAAUGUUACGGCACAAGGAGUGUCUAUAGUUGAACAAUUCUUCCUUCCCACGUAGUCUUCCCCGUCCAACAUAGUCAUGAAAAUGGUAUCUUUGACCUUGAUAAGGGAUAAGAAAUUCAGGAAUAUUUGGACAUCCAGAAUCAACAAGGCAAAAUUGAUCUGUAAAAUAAACAAGGGCUUACAUAGUGUGACACUGUACAUAUAUUCACAAUAAUUAUUUGAAGUAUAAGAAUAUACCUCCAUGUAGCAUUGGAAAGUUGUUCGAAGUUCUUGUAAUUGCGUCAACGAAUACUCACAAAUCAUUAGCAGUACAUUUCCAAACAGAAUACACAAAUGUGAAUUUCAUAUCAAAAUCAUAUAUCAGCAUCACAUUUUGUAUUACAUUAGUUUUCCUUCCACGAAAAGAUGUUUGUCUCAAUGCAGGAGCCCAAGUUACAACAUAUGUUCCAUCUAUUGCGCCAUACAAUGUCUUGAUUUGUCGGACGAAUUAUCUCAGUGCCAAAUGAACAAACAGCCCUUACAACUCGUUUGAACCAUUUGUGUAUCGUGUUGUUGGAAUGCUGAAACCUAUCACCAAUAACAUUGUAUCGUGCAGUGUGCCCUACGAUCGUCAUAAACAUAGCAAUACCCUCCUCAAUGCUCACUUUUUUCCCAUCUUUCAGUAACCCUUUCUCUUUCAAAAUAUCACAAAAUUCAUGAAAACAUGUUUCUACAUACGAAAAUUACGAUAGCACACGUCCCAAUGUCCAUUCAAAAUUUCUAGAAUAUACAUUUUUCCUGUAAGCGAUGAUGUUCUACAAGAUUUCCUGCCUAUGGUACUUCCUUCACUGGCAACAAAACAAUUAAGUAUCAUUAAAUCUCCAAAAAUUUGAGUCAAAACUAUCCAUAAAUAUAGCAAAUCAUCAUCACUCGAAUCUUCAUCAAUGGAAUCAUCGGUACUCACAUUAUCAUCCAUUCGUCUUUCGUGAAUAUAGAACGUUGCAAUGCGUUUGAUUUCACUUUCUCGUAAAGAAUUUCGAUAAAAGCAUGUUCAUUCUCGUCGAACCAUGACAUUGGUUCCUUAUUCCUAACUCUGUGAUCACCCAUGUUGAAGUUAUAUUGAAUAUACAUCCAAUUAAGUAAAACAUAGCAUAUUAGAACUGCCUUACCAUAACAUGUUAAGCAAAACUAAAAUAUGAAACUUCAAUUUUAUCAAUUAGUAUGUGUAGUUUUCUAAUAUCCUAUUUCAAUUUGUCGAGGUCUUCACUCUUGUGGGCUCGUUUUUCAAUUUUGAUUAAAAUUGAUAGUAAACACCAGAAUUAUAUUGCUUAAGAGAUAUGGUUUCGUUAGCUAUUCAUAGUAAGCUAAUAUUAUGGUUUUGCUUAGUACCUCUUUGCAUACUUUGCUGUCUAUUGUAUAUUAUCAAUCCAACCAAAAUGUCGUGAUCUCUUGGAAGUCUGCAUGAUGUUUUUGUAUUAAUAUUUGUGCUUCUGUCCAAAGUGGGAUUAGAGAAAGAUGCACUAUCAGCAAGAGGCAAUUUUCCAUCAUGGGCAUAGAGCUGAACAACUUAUUGCUCCUGCCUUGUUGGUUACCAACACAUUGUCAGUAGCAUAUUUGGAUUUUGUAAAAUGAAGACUAGUAGGAUGCCUAAAACCUUCAAUGCCCAAGAAAUAGCUCAAAGAUCCCAGAAUUUUCAACGCUAACUUGUAAUAAUUUGGAAGUUUCCUUGUAAUAACUAUUGGCAGAUUCAUUAGGAUUUAGGAUUUGACUCAUUCAAACAAUAAAAGUUCCAAUCAUUAUCCAUAAGCUAAGAAAGCAAUUAAUAUAGUAAUUGAAUCACCAAGACAAGAAGAACGGACUAAUUCAGGAUAAUUGAUUAUUUUCCUUCUUCUCCCUAAUAUGUUUGGGUAAUUGUAGGCGAGGAAGGGGGAGAAUUUAACUAAUGAAAACAGAAUUAUCAAAGUAUAUUACUGUAACGUGUUUAAUUACCAAGAAUUGUCAUAAAAAUGGGAAAAAUCUCUAGAUUUCUACAGAACGAAAUUUAAGGUGAUAAGCUAAUUUUGAAGUAUCUCAACAUAAUCAUGGUUGAUUAUGGAAGCAAAAGAAAGGCAAAGAAAUGGCUUAAUCUAAAAACCCAUCAUUGAAACUAACUAGAGGCUGAUCAGAUUGGAUGCAAAGUGGCCUGACAAUAGAUCAAGCACAGAAACGAACACUCUAAAAGAUAAACUCUU